rnacentral:rRNA from 1 species
AUUGAACGCUGGCGGCAGGCCUAACACAUGCAAGUCGAACGAGUGGCGGACGGGUGAGUAAUGUCUGGGAAACUGCCUGAUGGAGGGGGAUAACUACUGGAAACGGUAGCUAAUACCGCAUACCAUCAGAUGUGCCCAGAUGGGAUUAGCUUGUUGGUGGGGUAACGGCGCACCAAGGCGACGAUCCCUAGCUGGUCUGAGAGGGUGACGAGCCACACUGGAACGGAGACACGGUCCAGACUCCUACGGGAGGCCGCAGUGGGGAAUAUUGCCCAAUGGGCGCAAGCCUGAUGCAGCCAUGCCGCGUGUAUGAAGAAGGCCUUAGGGUUGUAAAGUACUUUCAGCGGGGAGGCGUUACCCGCAGAAGAAGCACCGGCGAACUCCGUGCCAGCAGCCGCGGUAAUUC